CAUCAAGAAGCUUUUACAGCAUUAGCCUUUUAAGCUAGAGACAGAACCACAUUCCUUGAUGG
rnacentral:tRNA from 1 species